GACCUGGCUCAGGAUGAACGCUAGCUACAGGCUUAACACAUGCAAGUCGAGGGGAAACGACAUCGAAAGCUUGCUUUUGAUGGGCGUCGACCGGCGCACGGGUGAGUAACGCGUAUCCAACCUGCCCACCACUUGGGGAUAACCUUGCGAAAGUAAGACUAAUACCCAAUGACAUCCCACGAAGACAUCUGAAUGGGAUUAAAGAUUUAUCGGUGAUGGAUGGGGAUGCGUCUGAUUAG
rnacentral:rRNA from 1 species